rnacentral:rRNA from 1 species
GACGAACGCUGGCGGCGUGCUUAACACAUGCAAGUCGAACGGUGAAGCGCCUUCCUUUUUGGUGGGUGUGGAUGAGUGGCGAACGGGUGAGUAACACGUGAGUAACCUGCCCCCUUCUUCUGGAUAACCGCAUGAAAGUGUGGCUAAUACGGGAUAUUCUGGGUCUGUCGCAUGAUGGGUCUGGGAAAGAUAUUGUUUCGGUUGGGGAUGGGCUCGCGGCCUAUCAGCUUGUUGGUGGGGUGAUGGCCUACCAAGGCGGUGACGGGUAGCCGGCCUGAGAGGGUGGACGGCCACACUGGGACUGAGACACGGCCCAGACUCCUACGGGAGGCAGCAGUGGGGAAUAUUGAACAAUGGGCGCAAGCCUGAUGCAGCGACGCCGCGUGAGGGAUGGAGGCCUUCGGGUUGUGAACCUCUUUCGCCAGUGAAGCAGGCCUGCCUCGUUUGUGGGUGGGUUGACGGUAGCUGGAUAAGAAGCGCCGGCUAACUACGUG